AAAAUUAGGAGUGAGCAUUCGGUUAUAACCGAACCAAAAUGACUAUUCGGUUAUAACCGAAAACCGAAUUGACGCUAAUUUCACUAUCCGAACCAAAAACCGAAAUUUAAAACUAACCGAAUUACCGAAUGUACAAUUCGGUAAUUCGGAUAAUAACCGAACUUGUGCACAAAAUUAAAAUUAAGAAUAAAGCAACAGAUUACAAAGUAGCUUAACUUAAAUACUUAACAGUUAACAACAACAUGCCAAGUUAAUAGAUAAUAUUAACUAAAAAUGUCAUGGAACCUAAAAUUAUCGUACCAAAGAUUUAGCUCAAGAGAACCCUGCCUUGAUAUAGUUACCUAAUCCCUGAUUUAUGUCACCAACAUCUUCAAACAGAAUCUAAACCCCAUAAUAAUUCACCAAAAUGGGUUUCUCCAACUAGCAUAAGUCCUCUAUCUUUCAGAACCAAUACUAGGGGAAAAAAACUCCAAUAACUAUAAAUGUAUCGAGCAGAUAUUUUCUGGAGUAUGCAAAAAUUCUCACAAUUCUCACAAUUCAUCAGCUAUGUAUCGAGCAGAUAUUUCUCACAGUUUCUAAUUAACCUCCGCACAUAAUCUAUAACUUCAAUUCUUCUUUUUUCAGAUACAACAGUGGGCUGAACCUGACUAAUAAUCUUCUGGGUCGAUUUCUCUGCUAUGGCCCAGCGUUCAGCCCCAAUCCGAGAUGGAUUAGGGUCCGACGAGGGUGACUGCACCAGCCUUUCUUCUUCUGCUAAGGUGAUGUUUGGUUCCUGAAGAUCGCUCAUGAAAGUCCCAGAUAAUGCGAAAGCCAAAAAGGAUUCCUCACCCAGGUGGCUUUUAGACAGCCAUUAACUUGAAGUCUUGAUCAGAGCUUUUAGACAGCCAUUUUUAGUACGAUAAUGCCGAGACGACAGUCAGUGAGGGUCCGUCGAGACGAGAGUUGAUCGAGAGUGACUGAGUGAGGAAUCGAGAAUUCGAGUCUUUGAAAUCUCAGAUCUGGGCGACUGGCGAGUGGAUAAGGGUUAGGGAAAAAUGGGAUUGGGGGAAAACUCAGAAAACAAAAUGGGGGAAUACUGAUACUCUGAUAGUCGAAUAGAAGUUAAUAGAUAAUAUGAUUAAUAAUUAUUAUUUUUAAAUAUUAAAAUUCGGUUAUUCGGGUACCCGAAUAAUCUGUUUUUUGAAAACUGGAAUCGAAAUCGAAUACUGAAUAAUAAUUCGUAUAUAACCGAAAUUCCAAAAAAAAACCAAAAACCAAAAUAAUUCGGUUAAAAUGGUUCGGUUCGAUAGUUCGAUUUUAUCCGUUUUUUG
rnacentral:lncRNA from 1 species